rnacentral:rRNA from 1 species
CCAGACUCCUACGGGAGGCAGCAGUGGGGGAUAUUGCACAAUGGGGGAAACCCUGAUGCAGCGACGCCGCGUGGGCGAAGAAGUAUUUCGGUAUGUAAAGCCCUAUCAGCAGGGAAGAAGAAAUGACGGUACCUGACUAAGAAGCCCCGGCUAACUACGUGCCAGCAGCCGCGGUAAUACGUAGGGGGCAAGCGUUAUCCGGAUUUACUGGGUGUAAAGGGGGCGCAGACGGCAGCGCAAGCCAGGGGUGAAAGCCCGGGGCCCAACCCCGGGACUGCCCUUGGAACUGCAUGGCUGGAGUGCGGGAGGGGCAGGCGGAAUUCCUGGUGUAGCGGUGAAAUGCGUAGAUAUCAGGAGGAACACCGGCGGCGAAGGCGGCCUGCUGGACCGCGACUGACGUUGAGGCUCGAAAGCGUGGGGAGCGAACAGGAUUAGAUACCCCUGUA